GCAAAGACAACGCUCAUCCUUUUCUCUUUUCUUUUUCUUCUGUGUCUCAAUCAUUCUUGCCAAACAUAGUCUACAUUCUGCUGUUUCAUGGCUGUGAAACUACGGUAUUUGGCUGUGUAGAAUUGAAAAUUGGGUUCAAUUUUCAGAUUCUUCUAUUGAGAAUAUCUGUCUCUUCCUUCUUGCCGAUUCUGGAUUGAAGUCGCAUGCCUCCCUCAACUCUGUUCAUAACAUGAGAAACAUAAUAUUAUCGAACCAGACCAUUGACCCAGAAAAACAGAGGUUACAUUUGG